rnacentral:rRNA from 1 species
CAAUAGCGUAUAUUUAAGUUGUUGCAGUUAAAAAGCUCGUAGUUGGAUUUCGGAUGGGACUUGCCGGUCCGUCGUUUCGAUGUGCACUGGCCAGUCCUAUCUUGUUGUCGGGGACUAGCUCCUGGGCUUCACUGUCCGGGACUAGGAGCUGACGUGGUUACUUUGAGUAAAUUAGAGUGUUCAAAGCAAGCCUACGCUCUGAAUACAUUAGCAUGGAAUAACACGAUAGGACUCUGGCUUAUCUUGUUGGUCUGUGAGACCAGAGUAAUGAUUAAGAGGGACAGUCGGGGGCAUUCGUAUUUCAUUGUCAGAGGUGAAAUUCUUGGAUUUAUGAAAGACGAACUUCUGCGAAAGCAUUUGUCAAGGAUGUUUUCAUUA